rnacentral:rRNA from 1 species
GACGAACGCUGGCGGCGUGCUUAACACAUGCAAGUCGAACGCUGAAGCUCAGCUUGCUGGGUGGAUGAGUGGCGAACGGGUGAGUAACACGUGAGUAACCUGCCCUCUUCUUUGGGAUAACGCCCGGAAACGGGUGCUAAUACUGGAUAUUCACUGAUUCUCGCCUGGGGGUUGGUGGAAAGGUUUUUUCUGGUGGGGGAUGGGCUCGCGGCCUAUCAGCUUGUUGGUGGGGUGAUGGCCUACCAAGGCUUUGACGGGUAGCCGGCCUGAGAGGGUGACCGGGCACAUUGGGACUGAGAUACGGCCCAGACUCCUACGGGAGGCAGCAGUGGGGAAUAUUGCACAAUGGGCGAAAGCCUGAUGCAGCGACGCCGCGUGAGGGAUGGAGGCCUUCGGGUUGUAAACCUCUUUCGCUCAUGGUCAAGCCGCAGCUUUGGGUUGUGGUGAGGGUAGUGGGUAAAGAAGCGCCGGCUAACUACGUG